UACGUAGGGGGCAAGCGUUGUCCGGAUUUACUGGGUGUAAAGGGCGCGCAGGCGGGAUAGCAAGUCAGAGGUGAAAUCCUACAGCUUAACUGUAGAACUGCCUUUGAUACUGUUAUUCUUGAGUUCGGGAGAGAGAGACGGAAUUCCAGGUGUAGUGGUGAAAUACGUAGAUAUCUGGAAGAACACCAGUUGCGAAGGCGGUCUCUUGGUCCGAUACUGACGCUGAGGCGCGAAAGCGUGGGGAGCAAACAGGAUUAGAAACCCUAGUAGUCC
rnacentral:rRNA from 1 species